rnacentral:rRNA from 1 species
UACGUAGGGUGCGAGCGUUAAUCGGAAUUACUGGGCGUAAAGCGUGCGCAGGCGGCGCGUUAAGACAGGUGUGAAAGCCCCGAGCUUAACUUGGGAAUUGCGCUUGUGACUGGCGUGCUGGAGUGUGGCAGAGGGAGGUGGAAUUCCACGUGUAGCAGUGAAAUGCGUAGAGAUCGGGAGGAACAUCAGUGGCGAAGGCGGCCAUCUGGGACAACACUGACGCUGAAGCACGAAAGCGUGGGGAGCAAACAGG